CUCGCUGUGUUGUUUUUCAAGAUAUUCUUUAAGCAAGCCAAUCAUUUCAGCUGAGAUCAUGGUCAAAGUGCCAGCGCCCGUUUCGUCCUUGCUAAAUAAUUCAUCAAUGUCCGUUUCCCAAGUCUGUUUCGACUCAUACUCAUUGUUUGUCAACAAUCGACAAGCUUGCAUUAACUGGUGGCACACUGCACACAUCUCUUUACGUAGCUAGAUAAGUGGAAGGCAUUUUAAUAUUAGAAAUUGUUUUUAGCGCAUUUUAAAAAGUGCCAGAGCAUCGACUG